UACACUCCUGCGGGAGGCAGCAGUGGGGAAUAUUGCACAAUGGGCGGAAGCCUGAUGCAGCAACGCCGCGUGCGGGAUGACGGCCUUCGGGUUGUAAACCGCUUUCGCCUGUGACGAAGCGUGAGUGACGGUAAUGGGUAAAGAAGCACCGGCUAACUACGUGCCAGCAGCCGCGGUGAUACGUAGGGUGCGAGCGUUGUCCGGAUUUAUUGGGCGUAAAGGGCUCGUAGGUGGUUGAUCGCGUCGGAAGUGUAAUCUUGGGGCUUAACCCUGGGCGUGCUUUCGAUACGGGUUGACUUGAGGAAGGUAGGGGAGAAUGGAAUUCCUGGUGGAGCGGUGGAAUGCGCAGAUAUCAGGAGGAACACCAGUGGCGAAGGCGGUUCUCUGGGCCUUUCCUGACGCUGAGGAGCGAAAGCGUGGGGAGCGAACAGGCUUAGAUACCCCUGUAGUCCC
rnacentral:rRNA from 1 species